GUGGUCUUGGGAGGGUUGGUUGUGGUCAUUUGUGGUGACCAGUGGUCGCUUGGGGUCAUUUAUGAUCAUGUCUUGAUGACCAGU